UAGCGGCGCUAUGGAUAAACGCCGUAAAGGUUGAUUUCUUUUAGGCAAAACGUCGUCGUUUUGCUUUCCUCCAUUUUACCCAACCAAUAAACCCGAUGAACCUUAUUCAUUUCCCCCUUCUUCUGAAUUUCAUUUCCCCCUUUUUCCCAGUCUGAGAUCCUUAAAUUUCACCCAAAAUUUGCAGCCCAACCUUUUUUCCUCUGUUUUUUUUCCUCAACCUGUUCUCCUUAUUCCUUUUUCCCCCCGAAAUCCUUAAGUUCCACCCGAAAUCAGUAGCCUAACUAUUUUUCCCUAAAUCGGUAGCCUUGAAAUCAAUAUUGAAGGAAAAUAUCAAUUGCUUGCUCGGCAAGAGACAAGUAAUUUCUUCUUCUGCAUUAUUUCUUUUUGUUCAAAAUAUUUGGUUAAAAGUUUCCUAACUUUGUCAUGUAAUUUACUCUACUAUCCUUUUAUCCUAGCUACCAUCUUCCUAUUGCUUUCCUGCUUGUUAUCGGUUUUACACUGUUUUCUUUUGGGAAAGGGAAGGCAGGGCUUGGGUCUUUGGUUGUGUUAUUAUAAAUGAUGUAGACUGCAGGGAUCUUGUCUGGUUCGAUUCGAGCUUCAAACCCCAGUUUUAAGUGUUACUAAUGUAUGUUUGAGAUAACUUUCGAAAUAUCUUGUUUCCGGGUUCGGGUCUGGUGAGAUUGAUAAUUCAAUAUUAUUGGUAAAUUUGUUUUUAUCUUGCUUUUGUGAGAAUAAAAAUACAAUGGUUUCCCUUU